UACUUCUCUAGCUGAUCAGAAACUCCCACUUCCCAUUAGAACAUUUUUCAAACUCAAUGAAUCUGAUUGCCUCCUACUGGCAGGUGCUUUCUGGUCUCUUGUUGGAUCUCAAGGCAGAAAGUUUAUCAAUCAUCAUUGUGAUUCUCCAAUUUCUGUUGAGAAGGAUGCAGAGACUUCAACAACUCUAAACAAGACGCCUAACUAUCCUUAACCCAAUUUUCCUUAUUUCUUCUCUAUUUUUCAAAUCAAUGACAAAUUUUUGCCUGUUAAAAAAUUAUAUGACAAGAAAAUGCUUCCUCAAGUAUAUUCGAGUGAAGUUCUUUUUGUUGUAAUCUUUCUUCUAUUGGUUUAAGAGCUGGUGUUUUAAUAGACUAUUUAUUUAUUUUUCAAGUUGCGUCUCGUUGUUGCUGGAUCAAGGAUUCAAAGCUAGUCAGUCACUAAUGAAGUUACAAUUUAUGAGUUUGAAGAAUGCAGCAUACACACAAGGGUUCCACGCAGGCCUUCAGACUACACUUCGACCAAAUCUUUCAUCACAAAAA